GAUUGCUUCUCCUUCUGCCAUGAUUGUUAGUUUCCUGAGGCCUCCCCAGCCAUGCUGAACUGCACAUAGGCAGAAGGGACUUGCCUUGUAUCAGAUGAGACUUUGGACUGUGGACUUUUCAGUUAACACUGGAGUGAGGUUUGCUUGCUUGUUUAAAGGAUUGGUGUAAGAGCAAAUGGAAUUAAGGAUGCUUGCACAAUUCAUGCAAUUCUACUGAAAAUUAGUGUCUUGUCAACAGCAGUAUUUCUCAAAGUUUGUUCUCCUGACCAGC